AUUGAACGCUGGCGGCAGGCCUAACACAUGCAAGUCGAGCGGAUGAAGGGAGCUUGCUCCUGGAUUCAGCGGCGGACGGGUGAGUAAUGCCUAGGAAUCUGCCUGGUAGUGGGGGAUAACGUCCGGAAACGGGCGCUAAUACCGCAUACGUCCUGAGGGAGAAAGUGGGGGGUCUUCGGACCUCACGCUAUCAGAUGAGCCUAGGUCGGAUUAGCUAGUUGGUGGGGUAAAGGCCUACCAAGGCGACGAUCCGUAACUGGUCUGAGAGGAUGAUCAGUCACACUGGAACUGAGACACGGUCCAGACUCCUACGGGAGGCAGCAGUGGGGAAUAUUGGACAAUGGGCGAAAGCCUGGUCCAGCCAUGCCGCGUGUGUGAAGAAGGUCUUCGGAUUGUAAAGCUCUUUAAGUUGGGAGGAAGGGCAGUAAGUUAAUACCUUGCUGUUUUGACGUUACCAACAGAAUAAGCACCGGCUAACUUCGUG
rnacentral:rRNA from 1 species